ACUUCCUUCACCUGCAGUGGCUGCUCAUGACAGUGGGUAGCAGCAUUGCUAUUACACUGGACAGGCCACCCACCCUCCCUAUCCCACAGGGUCCUCAUCUGCAAUGUGGAAAUAAGAAUAUGCCUACUUUAUGUGUGCAAGGUCCUUAGAAAAAUGCCUGGCAGGCAGUAAGCUCUCAAGAGGUCUGAGCCCAGCAUAAUGAUACCUACCUUGUGGA
rnacentral:lncRNA from 1 species